rnacentral:lncRNA from 1 species
UUGCUGUGCUUUCUUUAUGCCACUUUGGAAUGAGAACAAUUCCCUCUUUCUCCGUUUCUGGAGCGAUUAUUGUUUUCAGGAAUGAUAUCAGAGACAUCAUAGUUGUUAACUCAAAUAGGACCUUCAAGUUGUGAAUAGCUAGGUUAGGAAGCCUCUCUAUUUAGAAGUGUUGUUGAUGUGCUAAGAGAAAUCUGAUGCAUUUAGAAUAGAGUCUGAUUCAUAAUGGAGCUGUGAUGAAGCUGUUAUCAAACCAUUAUCCGAUUUAGCAUAUGAAGUUUUAACCUGUCCAAUGACUUAUAUUUUGGCUUCCUAAUGAAAUGUAUGCACAAAGCUUCUUGUUUCCUUUCAUACAAAUCACACCAGAAAUGCCUCCCUUACAUCACAGUUACUUGUGGUUCUAUUUUGCAGCUUAUGAAAUCACAAAGUACUCUUCCAA